rnacentral:rRNA from 1 species
GUUCGGAAUUACUGGGCGUAAAGAGAGCGUAGGUGGCGAUUCAAGUCAGAUGUGAAAGCCCGGGGCUUAACCCCGGAACUGCAUUUGAUACUGGGUUGCUAGAGUGCGAUAGAGGAAAGUGGAAUUCCCGGUGUAGGGGUGAAAUCCGUAGAUAUCGGGAGGAAUACCAAUUGCGAAGGCAACUUUCUGGUUCGUAACUGACACUGAGGCUCGAAAGCGUGGGUAGCAAACAGGA